GGGAGGAGGGGGUUGAGGACAUAUACCCUGAACCACCCGCCACAAUGUUUUUGAUCCUUCAAGCUUUGAGAGCUCAGACAAGAAUUCAAAUGGUUUUCAGCAAGUGUGG